rnacentral:rRNA from 1 species
GAUGAACGCUGGCGGCGUGCCUAAUACAUGCAUGUCGAGCGAAUGGAUUAAGAGCUUGCUCUUAUGAAGUUAGCGGCGGACGGGUGAGCAACACGUGGGUAACCUGCCCAUAAGACUGGGAUAACUCCGGGAAACCGGGGCUAAUACCGGAUAACAUUUUGAACCGCAUGGUUCGAAAUUGAAAGGCGGCUUCGGCUGUCACUUAUGGAUGGACCCGCGUCGCAUUAGCUAGUUGGUGAGGUAACGGCUCACCAAGGCAACGAUGCGUAGCCGACCGGAGAGGGUGAUCGGCCACACUGGGACUGAGACACGGCCCAGACUCCUACGGGAGGCAGCAGUAGGGAAUCUUCCGCAAUGGACGAGAGUCUGACGGAGCAACGCCGCGUGAGUGAUGAAGGCUUUCGGGUCGUAAAACUCUGUUGUUAGGGAAGAACAAGUGCUAGUUGAAUAAGCUGGCACCUUGACGGUACCUAACCAGAAAGCCACGGCUAACUACGUGCCAGCCGCCGCCGUAA